rfam:Schistosoma margrebowiei strain Zambia genome assembly, scaffold: SMRZ_contig0013760
AUACAGCUAACGAAUCCGAAAUAGAAUGAAACACGUGUCCUGUAU